AUUGAACGCUGGCGGAAUGCUUUACACAUGCAAGUCGAACGGUAGAGGGGGCAACCCCUUGAGAGUGGCGAACGGGUGAGUAAUGUAUCGGAACGUGCCCAGUCGUGGGGGAUAACGUAGUGAAAAUUACGCUAAUACCGCAUACGAUCUAUGGAUGAAAGCGGGGGAUCGCAAGACCUCGCGCGAUUGGAGCGGCCGAUAUCAGAUUAGGUAGUUGGUGGGGUAAAGGCUCACCAAGCCAACGAUCUGUAGCUGGUCUGAGAGGACGACCAGCCACACUGGAACUGAGACUCGGUCCAGGCUCCUACGGGAGGCAGCAUUGGGUAAUUUUGGACAAUGGACGCAAGUCUGAUCCAGCCAUUCCGCGUGCAGGACGAAGGCCUUCGGGUUGUAAACUGCUUUUGUACGGAACGAAAAAGCUCUUAUUAAUACUAGGAGUCCAUGACGGUACCGUAAGAAUAAGCACCGGCUAACUACGUGCCAGCCGCCGCCGUAA
rnacentral:rRNA from 1 species